rnacentral:rRNA from 1 species
AGUGAACGCUGGCGGUAGGCCUAACACAUGCAAGUCGAACGGGAGCACAGUAAGAGCUUGCUCUUAGGGGUGGCGAGUGGCGGACGGGUGAGGUAUGCAUCGGAAUCUACUUUUUCGUGGGGGAUAACGUAGGGAAACUUACGCUAAUACCGCAUACGUCCUACGUGUGAAAGCAGGGGAUCUUCGGACCUUGUGCUAGUGAAUGAGCCGAUGUCGGCGUAGCUCGUUGGCGGGGUAAAGGCACACCAAGGCGACGAUCCGUAGCUGGUCUGAGAGGAUGAAUAGACAGAUUGGAACUGAGACAGGGUACAGACACCUACGGUAGGAAGCAGCGCGGACUCUUGCACAAUGGGCGAAAGCCGAAUCCAGCAAUACCGCGUGGAUGAAGAAGGCCUAAGGGUGGUAAAGCCAUUUUGUUGGGAAAGAAAAGCAGCAGGUUAACCCCCCACUGUACUGACGGUACCCAAAGAAUAAGCACCGGCUAACUUCGUG